UUACAAUAAGACGUUGUGGGAAAUUAGAUGUGGAGGAAAUUUCUCGGCUUUGCUUGGAGAAGUCAAUCAAAUUUGUGGGAGAAGAUGAUGAAGAAGACGAAUUUGUGGAAGAAUACGAUGAAUAAGUGCACGUUGCACUUGGAAGCUUUUUGAUGCGUGACCACAAAUUGUUCCCUUGUGUUCAAACCUUAAAUGAAUUGAGGAAAGGUGUGCUUCUUAGUGGGAUUUGCAAAUGUUAUGGAGAAGUCAUAAAUGAGGGAGCCACUGCAAUUCCAAGAUUACCAGUGUGGCAGCGCUGGCUAAAGCAGCAGCAGCAGAAUAUUUUAUCUCAGCAACGAUGCCUUCAAUCAUAGCAAUCUUUGACGGGCACACUGACAAAAAUCAUUCUGUGCAGCAAACAUCGCCUACAGGAGUAACUGAGAGAAUGCAGCAUUUGCUGUACCAGUAGAGAAGGAGCGCCCUUUUGCUGAGACUUGAGAAUUGCACUCACUUACAAAAGAUUGGUAAGAAAAAGAGAGCACCUUCCCUUGGGGCUGCCUUCAGUAAUAGAACUGUGCAUUCUGAAGCAAUAUUGGCAUUGUUUCUGUCAUGAGAUCCACUCAAUUCCAGGAAAACACUGGCACUGCCACCAAAGUUGGUUAUGCGUCAUAUGCUACUCGCCACCUCAGAAGAACUUUCAUCAAGUAGUGGUGGCUCUUCCAUGUACGCAGAACCUUUCAUAGAACCUAGUGAUCAUAAAAGAAGAGCUUUACACAAGCCAAGCGUCAAUUUGAGAAAUUCUUCCAUAUUCUUUGCAUGUACAAACUCCAAAAUGUUUCCAAUCCGCCGUGCUACUUUCAGUUGAGAAAGCAACUUGGGAUCCAUUUCCAGAGCUGAUGCCAGAGCCACGUGCAGCUCAACAUCAUUCACAUUUGCACAGGACAGAUCACCAAGUGAAAAUCUGAAGCAGUGGCUGACUGUCUUUGGUUGUAGAAUCUCAGAAAUUUUAGUCAAGUUGAACUCUAUGAGCAUCAGGAGGAGCUUCUGCGCACACAUUGGUAUCGGGGUCCUCAUCCUCAUUCAAGGUCGGUCAAAGAGGGAGAAAUUGCAUCUAGGAUAUGGAUUUCAAGCCUGGCAGCUUAUGCUCUAACUCUGGAGUUUUGAUUAGGAAAACGAACAUCGCAUCAAACGGAAUCUUGAGGGACAGAAAUCUGGCAUCACCAUCCUUGUUGCCCUUAUACAGAACAUCCAGACUCAGCAGAAUCCCACAGAUGAAUACGUCAGAGCUUUCAGCUCUGUGAUGGACUCAACGCCUGCAUUUUGAGCCGGCAAUGCAGGUUCUAGGAGCGGAUCGGUGUUGUGCUCUUGUUUUCUUUUUCAAUCCUGAACUGCUUUUGGAUCGUGUUUGUAAUUAGUGUGCUGAAUUAUGCUUCGUGUGAGUGUGAACCAUCUAAGUUUUGCCUGUCCAGUGUUUGGUGAUCAUGUGCAAUUUUGGUGUUUGAUGAAAUGAGUUAUGUGCUUGAGUCUGCGUGUGCUGGAAUGUCACCUUCAAGAAGCACCUGAAGCAGAAGCUGAAGCGCAAGGUCUAUUGCGACGGCUUCCUCUCUCUCUGCACCACCACCGGCAAGGUAAUGCCCUAUGAUGGCAGCGAGCAGCUGUCGGAAUGCAGAAUUUUGAAGAAUGAUGAAGUUAUUUGUUCCGAGUUUUGGUUGAGUUUCUGGUGUGAGGUUCACUAUAAUCCCCUCUAUGAAAUACGAGAUGCUCCAAUUACCGAAAAAGAAACACUGGAUAUUUUAGAAGAAGCUGGUCGCUCACGAUGUUGCAACCUGCAGGAAAUGGGAACCAAAUUUAUACCAUCCCUAUACCUUACAUAUAUAGAUUCUGCAUUCCAAAUAGCACAGCUUGCUUUACAAUGCCUCCAAAUGACUCCUAACGAGUGGCCUUCCAGGACUAAAGUUGUGGCAGAACUGGAAUCAGUAGAAGCUGCCAGUGCUAAUAGAAUUCCACAGGAUGCUUGAAUUCACUUAUCAUGUCGUUCUUACUUCAUGUGAUGUAAAUCAAAGUUUGUUGUUCCACACUUUUCCAUUUUUCCCAGGAUUAAUCUUGGGCUUUGAAUGUUCAUUUCCAUUGUACCCUGUAGUUACUAGGAGUUGUCUUCUCUUGUAAGUUCUUUGGAAUAUCCAUCGAGAUUGCAUUACUGCAUUAUAUCUUCAAAGAAAAUGUACGAUGGUACAUUUCAUCACAUCCUGCUCUUGUGACGUACCCUGUUAAGUUCUUA